UACGUAGGGGGCAAGCGUUGUCCGGAAUCAUUGGGCGUAAAGAGCGUGUAGGCGGCCAGAUAAGUCCGCUGUGAAAUCUCGAGGCUCAACUUCGAGCUGUCGGUGGAAACUGUCUGGCUAGAGUCCGGAAGAGGAGAAUGGAAUUCCUGGUGUAGCGGUGAAAUGCGCAGAUAUCAGGAGGAACACCCGUGGCGAAGGCGGUUCUCUGGGACGGUACUGACGCUGAGACGCGAAAGCGUGGGGAGCGAACAGG
rnacentral:rRNA from 1 species